rnacentral:tRNA from 1 species
GGUGGCUCAGUGGUAGAGCACUUGCUUUGCAUGCAUAAGGCCCUGGGUUCGAUUCCUUAGCACCA